rnacentral:rRNA from 1 species
AAGGGAGCUUGCUCCUGGAUUCAGCGGCGGACGGGUGAGUAAUGCCUAGGAAUCUGCCUGGUAGUGGGGGAUAACGUCCGGAAACGGGCGCUAAUACCGCAUACGUCCUGAGGGAGAAAGUGGGGGAUCUUCGGACCUCACGCUAUCAGAUGAGCCUAGGUCGGAUUAGCUAGUUGGUGGGGUAAAGGCCUACCAAGGCGACGAUCCGUAACUGGUCUGAGAGGAUGAUCAGUCACACUGGAACUGAGACACGGUCCAGACUCCUACGGGAGGCAGCAGUGGGGAAUAUUGGACAAUGGGCGAAAGCCUGAUCCAGCCAUGCCGCGUGUGUGAAGAAGGUCUUCGGAUUGUAAAGCACUUUAAGUUGGGAGGGAGGGCAGUAAGUUAAUACCUCGCUGUUUUGACGUUACCAACAGAAUAAGCACCGGCUAACUUCGUGCCAGCAGCCGCGGUAAUACGAAGGGUGCAAGCGUUAAUCGGAAUUACUGGGCGUAAAGCGCGCGUAGGUGGUUCAGCAAGUUGGAUGUGAAAUCCCCGGGCUCAACCUGGGAACUGCAUCCAAAACUACUGAGCUAGAGUACGGUAGAGGGUGGUGGAAUUUCCUGUGUAGCGGUGAAAUGCGUAGAUAUAGGAAGGAACACCAGUGGCGAAGGCGACCACCUGGACUGAUACUGACACUGAGGUGCGAAAGCGUGGGGAGCAAACAGGAUUAGAUACCCUGGUAGUCCACGCCGUAAACGAUGUCGACUAGCCGUUGGGAUCCUUGAGAUCUUAGUGGCGCAGCUAACGCGAUAAGUCGACCGCCUGGGGAGUACGGC